rnacentral:rRNA from 1 species
AUUGAACGCUGGCGGCAGGCCUAACACAUGCAAGUCGAGCGCGAAAGUUCUUCGGAAUGAGUAAAGCGGCGGACGGGUGAGUAAUACAUGGGAAUCUGCCUGGUAGUGGGGGACAACGUUUUGAAAGGAACGCUAAUACCGCAUACGCCCUACGGGGGAAAGGGGGGGAGUCUUCGGACCUCUCGCUAUCAGAUGAGCCC